GUAUGUGUGUGUGUGUGUUGGGAGGAUUUGUGCGUUACUGUGUGUGUUCGUGUGGAGUUUGACUGCAUUUACUGUAUUUGUGCUGAGCUAAAGUGUGUGCACUCUAAUACUGCCUGUAAUUAUGUGCUAAACAUGUGAGCAUACUCUCUCUCUCUCUCUCUCUCUCUUUCUUUCUCUCUCUCGCUCUCUCUGUCAAUCAAGCAGCAUCCAGUGAUUUGAGACAUUUUACACGUAUAAAGGAAUUGCUGUGGCCGUCGCUGUACAUGGAAAUAAAACCGACUCAAACCAAAAUUUCUCACAACAAACGGCACAAGAAUGCAUUUUUAAAAAGGCCGUGCAUGCAUUCAAACAACAGAGGCUGUUGUUUAAUGUAACCUGGGGAGAGAAAAACACCAGGAAGAUGGACCGUUUACGAAUGGACAUGCAGGCACCUGGAUUUCUCCUGUUUAUUGACAGCUGGGUUAGAGAUCUUCAGGUUUGUUUAAUUGUUGGGGAGGAUAAUCGGUGCCUCACACACUCCUCUCCUCUGUGUGUCCGUCUCUUCCUCCGCUCCUAGUCAAAGAGCUUUAGUUGGAGGUGGCGUUUUGUGGGGAGGAGCCUGCAACAACAGAGAUCUGGGCUCACAGAGCAGCUUUAAUUAGAUGGAGCCUCGUGCCAUCACGGCAUGUGUGAAAACGAAUGCGUGCCCGUGUGCUUUGCAUCUUUGUCUAAGUGAGGAUGCUUUUUUUGUGUGUAUAUGUCUGUUUAGCUUUUGCUUCUUUUUUUUUUUUUUGCACCAGUUUGUCUCCAUAUUUGCAUGCUGAAUACAAAGCAAAGUGCACGUUUCUUCAUUCUACGUAAAACACGCAUUGUUAUGCUGGUGCCCGUGCACCUUAAUGUCCUCCCGUAGGCACCACCCUUGAGCGUUGGCUAACUGGUGUGGCAUCAGAUAAUGUAAAUGAGGACUAACCAGUGGCUUUUGUAGUCAAACAGCCAGGAUCUUCUUUUAAUUUAAAAAUGCAUUUCGGUCAUUGCGGGGGGCGGCGUUUGAAGCCAUCACCCUCCCAUAGAGCCACUCAGUGGGCAUUGUAGACCGACUGUGGGGUUGGACGCCAGACUGAUGAAAGGAAGACUGGAGCCACUGCCAGAAUGAACGGGUUCGACAACUGGUGCAACUGUUUUUGAAUUGGAGCAUCUUGCUGAUUGUUUGACGUCAAGCCUUUUUUGAUAUGCCCCAAGCCAAUCAAACGGGUUUAGUGGACAAAGGGAGGUCUCCAAUUGGUCGCGAUGGGUUUAGGCGGGAUGGAGAGAACUCUCAUAAAAUGAGAGGUCAGAACAUUUAAAGGACGCUGAGAGCUGAAGGAUAAUUAGAAGACCCCAAGCCAGAAGACGGUGAUUUUUGUAAUGUGGAGUUCACAGUUGUUUGACUCUUAUUACUUAGAACAUGAUACCUGGGACAGAUUUGUUUUACUUUAUUCUAAGUCAGUUUGUUAUUGUAGAAAUAAUGCAAUAUAUAGAUAUAUUUGAUGUGAUUUUUAUUUGUUAACAAUCUUCCUGUCUGUCUUUAGGUCAGAAAUUGGCCCAUGUUUCUUGGCCGGGGGUUUAAGAGGAUGGGUAGCCUUAGGGGUUGAUUGUUAUCUUUGGUUAUCUAGCUGUAUGAGUGAUGUACAUUCUUCAUAAAGCUAGAUAACCGAAAGUAACAAGAAUCCCAUUACACUCCUGGAAAGGCAUCAAGACCCAAAGUGACUCCUUUCAGCAAAAAUAAAUAAAAAAUAUACAAGAAGAAGCAUAACUUGAGAAAAACAAUGGACCGUUUUUUUUUUUUUUUAAAGGACGUUGGAUCAUUCAUCAAAUAAAGCUAGUGGCAGUGAUCCAUACAAGUAAGGUUGGUGCAACAGAAUCACUUUUAAUCUAAUAAGCCCCAUGAUCCUUGUGUGCGGGGCUGUAUGCAGGGGCUUAGCCUUGGUAUCACAUGGCUAGAAGAAAAAAAGACCCUCAAAGAUUUACCAAAGCCAGCGGACGCCAAACAAGUCUUUUAAAAACUCUGCACUGGGUCAUCGGGUUUAUUAGUUAGCUUGGUAAACAGUCUGCUCAUUCGGCCCCAUGCAUUUUUAGCUUUGCUGUUUUCAUCGUUGGCAUAAAGUGGCCAUGCAAUGUGGAAAAUGUGUGGCCCUUUAAUGUCAUUGGAGCUGCAUAUGGUGCUAUGAAUUAUACAUAUGCUCCAACAUGGACGUGAUUGUGUGACUUAAGAAUGCUCCCUCCGAGGUAAUCUGGCAUCCCAAUGUCCCGCUGGUACCUAAGCGAAAAGACAAGAAUUUGUUUGAGGCCCGUUUUGUUAAGUUAUCCGUUGUUGAUUUCUUUCUCCUUUUCACCUUCCCCUUUCACAGUUUUGCUUGAAAGGAUGUUUGAUUUAGGGUCCUGACUGUUGUUUGAUUCGACGUGACAGUUGGCUCGGUUUUGAAUGGGCCUCUGUUCCAUGAGGCGCUACCAUGUGGAAAAGCUUGAUAGGGUGCUGAUGUGUGUGCGCGAAAAACUCACACGGGGAGUGGUCCAGGGGCAAUCAAGCAGAAAGAACCCCCAGUGACGAAAUCCACGAGUGAGUGAAGGAGAACAAUCUCAGCCUGAAGGUUCUUGGCCGGAGCUUGUGGCGAGGAGUAAUUGGUCAAUUAGAUCUUCAACCUCAAGGCUUCUGAUGGCUGAUUGAAGGUGUAAUUUCUGCUCUGCCCAUCAAAGCCAAAGGGUCAUCCCUGGUGAAAAGGGCUUUAAAGAACCAUUUCCCCGGUCUUUCUAAGUGAACCCAAAUUUUAUUUAACUUGCUGGUUUGCCAUUGCAACAGGGUUCAGCUGAAAGAUCCCCUUGGGUUUGGAGAUACUCAUCUCGGCAUGGUACAAAUACUAAACAGUUGUGUAGGGCUGAAGGGAAAUACCUGAAAGCUUAUAGGCAAGCCUUGCCUCCUAACGUCAAUCAACUUAAGCUCCAGAGUUAUGUUUGCCGUCCUGCUGCAUUGCAGGUGCUGAGUGUGACAUCUGAGCUCUCUGUUGGCUGCUUAAGUAGAAGAACGAGGUUCUUGAAAGAAAGUGACAGCCAGACAUACAACAUUGUUGGACAUCAAUGUUGUACCUUAGUUUUGUUUUUUUCAUUGUUGUAAUUCUGAAGCCACAUUUUUUAAAUGUUUUUAGUAGACUUUCGAGAACUGGGUGGCUUUGUUCUAAAGAUUAAGCUUGUAUUUGACUCCAAACUGGUGAACUUUGCAUCAUAAUUUGAUGACAUGCCAGGUGCAAGCCCCGCUUACUCUUAAUCAUCACAGAGUUUUUUUCCUUUGCUGCUCUUUUUGUGUCAGUUGCACUGUUUGGCUUAAUGGAGACUAAACUCUUGGGCAGAUUGUGGUUAUACUCUAAGCAGUGCCCUGGGAGACACAUGUCAUGGUGCAAAAGCUUUGUUCUUGGCUUUGUGUGUGGCACAGUUAUAUCACUAACACUUCACACUGGGACCACAGAGAAGAGGCUGUCUUAGCUUCUGCUUCCUUGAAAAUGGCACGAAAAGGGGAGAUUUCCUGAAAAACCACCUUAGGGCCUUUGCUCUCUUUUUUCUGCGUCCCUCGGCAUUGUCUGAAAUAGAAAGAAGGAGCAUAGAGAAAUGAUGGAGAGAGAGAAAAAAAAGGCAGGGAGCGGAAAAAGAGGAAGGAGGGUGAUGGGUUUGUCUUAGCUUUCAUGCACUAGGCAAGCAGAUUUAGACUCGAAGUGUCAAAUAGAAAAACAGCCAUUGUGAUCGGGACCCGCUCACCCCCACGCCACUAGACUUUACAGUCAAUAGAGCUAGUCCACUUGUCACCAAGGGACAAUGCGCCCCUUUUCCUCCCUUUCAGGCCCGCCGGGUCCGAGCAGCCAGACAGUUUUCUGAAUACAACCCAGUGAUUCUUGCCCCCUUUUCUCUGCCUGCCUUUCUCUUGAUGGAACACACCAACAGGGCUUGGAAAAUGGCUUCACUGUUGGGCCAGAGGGCAAAGCCAGACCUUGUUGUUUUCUCCGACAUUGGCAGUCCCUCCACCCCUGCAUGCUCACAGAGAAUUGAAUGUAUCUUAGGCAGUUGCAAAGUCAAUGGGCCUCACCAGACAAAGGAGAUUAAGUUUGGCAACUUGGCAGUAACAGGUGUACUUUCACUGAGCUCGGACCACACGGAGGGUGGCUGCUGUUGUCUGACCCAAUGCUCUGUUGGCCUCCCCGAUGGGACAUAGAUAAAGAGACAUUUUUUCACUCUUUUCAAAAGCCGGUAAUAAUCGGAAACUUCUUAAGCAAGAACUUAUAACGCCAUGUGCAUUAUUUAUAGCUGUGUACAGAGUCAUUUGCUGUGCUUCCUUAUCUAACUCAGCUUUUCUGUAUAUCUCAUGUGAAUCGCAAAGAGAAAGAAAACCUAUGAGAGGAUGGCGUUGCACGGGCGCAACUACUAUUUCAACGUUUUAGGAAAUGGUCCAUCUUUAAGAGACUGAGCGAAGCCUUUACUGUCAACACUUUCAGUACAUUCAAUGAAAAUAAAUCAAGCCAUUCAGCAGCCCUACAAAUACGAGACACUUCCAGAGCCGGAGGAAAACAGUGGGCGCGUUUGUUUGUUUCAGUCAUUAAUAAAGCUUUUACUGAGAGCUUCAGUCCUCUGUAAAGCCCAUUCUGCUGAAAUGACUUGGCGAAGCAUCCGAUAGAGGGUCUGUUCAGACUGAAGCUGCUCUGGUUACCAUUGUCUCGUGCUCUCUCACACACCUACAUGUCCAGAGUAAGCACACAAUUUCAUUGUUGUGCGAGCUGUUAAUAUCAGCGGUUUCACAAUAGAGCCUAUUCGGCGUAUUUGCAUAAGGCACUUUUCCAACAAGGACCCAGAGAGGGCUUGAAAGCUGGCCCACUCCAGUGCCAAUGGCAAAAAAAUGUCAAGUGCCAAUUAGGAGAGGUUUGCCAUCAUUCAGCAGUACCCCACCCCUGUAGUCCUUUCCCUCCCAGAUUACCCACCUCAACUCUCUCACACUCCAAGUCACCCCUGGCUUCACCACCUUAUUCUAGUUUCAGAUGUAGCCUUCCUCCUCUGACACCCAGAGACAAAAGCUCGCUCCCUCCUCCGCUGGCUAAUGGAAGAGCCUUUCUGCCGGGCUUAGAGAAUUAGAAAAACGUGUGCUCCCUUCGCUGAUUAGUCAGCUUUCUUUGUUGAUUACCUUGAAAAAAAAAAGGGUUCAUGAACUUUGCAGCUAAACCUGUGAGGUAUAGCCUCCACCUGCGUACGAAUGUUGAACUUAGAAAGCUGACUUAAUUGUGCCAGCGGGGUUUUAGAUUCUCAAGCUUGCAUGUGCAGGUGUGGGUUAUAGAAGACUGUGGCAAAGACAGAUGCUGAUUCAAAACAAUUAAAAAUGAAACCCUUUCAUCUGGUAGCCACACACGCUGCUUUGUGGUGGUGCUAAUAAUGCUUCGGUAGCUAAUGGCUUGCUUUAAGCUGCUCAUGCUUAUUAUUUUUGCACCAUGUGGACAUAGACGCAGAGCAUCUUAUUAUGAGAAAAGCCUCCGCCAGACUAUUCAUACCGAGUGCAAUCUUUGAGUUAGCUUAGAAGGCUAGUAGAACCCCAGCCUUUAUUUACUGGAUCGGCAUAAAAUCCAUGUAAGCUUAACUGGAGUCUAUUAGCAGGACUGAAGAACUGGUCAUAAUUCUACAGAUGGUAAAUGUUUAGAAAUAAUACCACAUGUUCUUGACUAAAAUAGUUUUUAGUUUGAGGUGACAAUGAUUUAGAUUGUCGUCUAUGCCCUUGACUUUAGUUUACAUGGUGUUUAUGUUGGCAAAGACUUCCUUCCUUCAUAAUCAUGAUGCUAGAGUAAAAGUAAAAUAAGCAAUGUAAAAUAGACAAAUUACAAGAGGCUAAAUGUGGUCGGCGACUGUUGUUUUCCACCCAGCGUUUACCUAUCGCACAGCCUCCUGCCACUCAAACGGAUUUCUCUCUUGUCCUUUUUUCUCUUUCAUUCUUUCAUUCAGUCUCUGUGUCGAGUUUUUUUCCCCCCCCUUUCCCACCCUUGAUUCUCAGAUGGUUGGAUCUGAUUUGCAUGCAUUUGCAUAAUGAAAGUCAUUUGCAUGCUCAGGGGCAGACUGUACCAUGAGAACAGACAUGAAAAGGUGUGUGUGUGUGUGUACAUGCGUUCGUGUGUGUGUGUGCAACUUGGUUCUUAUGCUUCUCUAAAACUGUCCAUAAUUGUUUUGAUGGCUUAACUACAUUGUUAACAUUUACCUGUAACACCCUGUGUCCCUGUUCUCUUUGCAGGGUACCUUACCACAUAGAGAAAAGAUGGCAGAAGACUGAAAACAGUAGAGGAGGAGGGGUUGCUGUUGAUUGUGCCCUCCCUCUCUCAUCGCCCUCUUCUGCAUCGCCUCUUCCCACCUCCUCCUCUUCUCUUUCUCCUCCACUCCAUCCUCAGCAGACUGCCCCUUUUUCUUCUACAGAGAAAUGCAGUCCACGCCACCAUUUUAGAGCAACGCUGGCAUAAAAUGGAAGUGGGAAGACCAGUCACUGCAGAUAAACGCUGGUGGCCAGGGAGCUACAGAAGGGAGAGAAGACACAAUGGGGAGACGGCGGGACUCCUCUUCCACGGCUUACUGCCAUUCAGCUCCUGUAAAUAAGGAUGCUGCUGUCUCCACGCAACUUAACGGGAACUGCUUCCAUGUCUGUGGAACAUCGUGACCCACCUGGACUUUUUGUGAAGACCUUUUGGUGAUUUAGCUCCCAAAAUAUCACUGUGAACUGUGGCUGUAAACGCCUUUGUGCAGAGAAAGAUGACGCUCAGCACUCUAAUUCUAUUUUUUUUUUUAUUCUGUGAUACAUUUUUAUUAUUCUUUUCUUGUAUAUGCCUGUAAAUAAUCUUGCACAGACAAAAGCAGUAUGUCUUUUAACUAAUAUAUAGGCUCUCCCUAAUCUGAGUUGUUUUUAACUUUUAAUUUUAGUUUUAGCCCUGGUUUAUGUUUAGUUCUGUGUUUUGUUUUAGUUGCUAGGAUUCAAAAGACACGUGAAUGUGAGACCCACGACAGCAGUGAAUAAUACUGCACUGCGAUUGGACAGCUCCGUGUGUCGGCUGACACAGCGGCGAAGGAGAGAGCUGUCGUCUUUACACUCUAUGCAACUGUUCUGUCUGUUUUUUCAUUUUAUUUUUUGGGCAGAGCCUCUUUUAUAUACAUUUAGGGUUUUUCUUUAUGGGCUAACAAUUUACAGACAUCCCUAUUUACAUCAUUGCGGGCAAAUGUCGCUUUGUCCGCAAGGUUCCUAUUCUUAAUGUAUAAAAACUAGAGGAAGGGUAUCUGUGUUAAUUGAUUCCUAAUUAUAUUUUUUAGCCUGGAAAAAAAGAAUCUGAGUGUGAAUAAAUAUGGACUCAAAUAUAUAAUAUUGCUGAAGGCAGUAGCGCGUUUGAUCAGCGGGAAGUGAAACAUUGCUGCUACAUGUAUGUUUCCUCUGAGACACAUUAGUUUGCCUCAUAACACUUACCUGCUCUGGUGUAAUGAUACAUCUUGGGGUAAGACAUGACAAAUACAUUGGCUUCAAACACUGCCUUAAUUUCCUGUUCACACACACACACACACACACACACACACACACACACACACACACACACACACACACACACACACACACACACACACACAUCCCAGUGCAAUAAGACAAGUACUAUCACGGCUUAAUUCAUUUUAGAUUAAUUUUUUGGGAAGUGGAUUUUUUUUUAUUAUGAUUGAUAAUCUAUGCAAAUCUUUUAAAGUAUUACUUUAAACAAUCUAUGCACUUCUCUUUUGCUCUUGCAUUUGAUUCAAGGGAGACUAUCUUGGCCUAAUUUCGAAAACGUAUUCUUUUGAUAAUCAGGCACAUCCCAGCGCUCGAGACAAUUACUUAUCUGCCUGGAUAAGCUUGAAAUUAUGUUUUUAAUCUUUUGCAGAAAAAGUCUCUCUUCUGAUAUCAGUUGAGAGGCAUGAAACCGUGAUUUCUGGUGUGAAAUAAUUAAAUCAGUGUCACAAAAUGUCCUCAUUUUUUUUUCUUUAAAUGCAGAUGAAAUUUAUCUGUUUAGCUUUGUCUGCUUAUUAGCCUAUUGUUUUAUGUAAGGAGCGACGAUUGUAUUAUGCAACCUGUGAAUGAGUGCUCACCACACGUGCCUUUGUAUGCAAAUCUGUGUAAGAAUAGUAAUAAAGGUUUACAUUGAAAACUGCA